UGGAGGCAGCAGUGAGGAAUAUUGCUUAAUGGGCGCAAGCCUGAAGCAGCAACGCCGCGUGUGCGAUGAAGGCCUUCGGGUCGUAAAGCACUUUUGGCAGGGACGAGGAAGGACGGUACCUGCAGAAUAAGCCUCGGCUAACUACGUGCCAGCAGCCGCGGUAAAACGUAGGAGGCGAGCGUUAUCCGGAUUUACUGGGUGUAAAGCGCGUGCAGGCGGUUUGUUAAGUUGGAUGUGAAAGCUCCUGGCUCAACUGGGAGAGGUCGUUCAAGACUGGCAGACUGGAGAGCAGUAGGGGAAGGUGGAAUUCCGGGUGUAGUGGUGAAAUGCGUAGAUAUCCGGAAGAACACCAGUGGCGAAAGCGGCCUUCUGGACUGCAUCUGACGCUCAGACGCGAAAGCUAGGGGAGCAAACGGGAUUAGAUACCCCGGUAGG
rnacentral:rRNA from 1 species